rnacentral:rRNA from 1 species
GGGAAUUUUGGGCAAUGGGCGAAAGCCUGACCCAGCAACGCCGCGUGAGGGAUGAAGUAUUUCGGUAUGUAAACCUCGAAAGAAUGGGAAGAAUAAAUGACGGUACCAUUUAUAGGCUCCGGCUAACUACGUGCCAGCAGCCGCGGUAAUACGUAGGGAGCAAGCGUUGUUCGGAUUUACUGGGCGUAAAGGGCGCGUAGGCGGCGCGGUAAGUCACUUGUGAAAUCUCUGAGCUUAACUCAGAACGGCCAAGUGAUACUGCUGUGCUAGAGUGCGGAAGAGGCAACCGGAAUUCUUGGUGUAGCGGUGAAAUGCGUAGAUAUCAAGAGGAACACCGGAGGCGAAGGCGGGUUGCUGGGCCGACACUGACGCUGAUGCGCGAAAGCCAGGGGAGCAAAC